rnacentral:rRNA from 1 species
CCUAUGGGGUGCAGCAGGCGCGAAACCUCUGCAAUGCGGGAAACCGUGACAGGGGGAUCCCAAGUGCUCAUGCAUUGCAUGGGCUGUUCUUUGGUCUAAGUAACCAGAGGAGUAAGGGCUGGGCAAGACCGGUGCCAGCCGCCGCGGUAAUACCGGCAGCUCAAGUGGUAGCCGCGAUUAUUGGGCCUAAAACGUUCGUAGCCGGAUAAGUAAGUCUUUGGUUAAAUCCUGCGACUUAACCGUGGGAAAUCUAGAGAUACUGCUUGUCUUGAGACCGGGAGAGGUUGGAGGUACUCCCAGGGUAGGGGUGAAAUCCUGUAAUCCUGGGGGGACCACCUGUGGCGAAGGCGUCCAACUGGAACGGGUCUGACGGUGAGGGACGAAACCUAGGGGAGCGAGCCGGAUUAGAUACCCACGUAGUCC